ensembl:rRNA 5S_rRNA 5S ribosomal RNA
AUCUACAGGUAUACCACCCUGAACCUCCCCGAUCUUGUCUGAUGUUAGAAGCUAAGCAGUGUGGGGUCUGGUUAGUACUUGAUUGGGAGACCACCUGGGAAUACUGGGUUCUGUAGUCU